rnacentral:tRNA from 1 species
AUUAAAGUAGUUUAAGUAAAACCUCGAAAUGUGGCUUCGAAAAUACCUCCUAGGUCUUUAAUU